GUACAGUAUCUACCAUGUUCUAUAUAGAUGUACAGUAUCUACCAUGUUCUAUAUAGAUGUACAGUAUCUACCAUGUUAUAAUUAGAUGUACAGUAUCUACCAUGUUCUAUAUAGAUGUACAGUAUCUACCAUGUUAUAAUUAGAUGUACAGUAUCUACCAUGUUAUAAUUAGAGGUACAGUAUCUACCAUGUUAUAAUUAGAGGUACAGUAUCUACCAUGUUAUAAUUAGAGGUACAGUAUCUACCAUGUUAUAAUUAGAGGUACAGUAUCUACCAUGUUAUAAUUAUGCACCAAUUUGUAAGUCGCUCUGGAUAAGAGCGUCUGCUAAAUGACUUAAAUGUAAAUGUAAAUGUUCUAUAUAGAUGUACAGUAUCUACCAUGUUAUAAUUAGAUGUACAGUAUCUACCAUGUUAUAAUUAGAUGUACAGUAUCUACCAUGUUAUAAUUAGACGUACAGUAUCUACCAUGAUUUAAUUAGAGGUACAGUAUCUACCAUGUUAUAAUUAGAUGUACAGUAUCUACCAUGUUCUAUAUAGAGGUACAGUAUCUACCAUGUUAUAAUUAGAUGUACAGUAUCUACCAUGUUAUAAUUAGAUGUACAGUAUCUACCAUGUUAUAAUUAGAGGUACAGUAUCUACCAUGUUAUAAUUAGAUGUACAGUAUCUACCAUGUUCUAUAUAGAUGUACAGUAUCUACCAUGUUAUAAUUAGAUGUACAAUAUCUACCAUGUUAUAAUUAGAGGUACAGUAUCUACCAUGUUAUAAUUAGAUGUACAGUAUCUACCAUGUUCUAUAUAGAUGUACAGUAUCUACCAUGUUAUAAUUAGAUGUAUAGUAUCUACCAUGUUAUAAUUAGAGGUACAGUAUCUACCAUGUUAUAAUUAGAUGUACAGUAUCUACCAUGUUCUAUAUAGAUGUACAGUAUCUACCAUGUUAUAAUUAGAUGUACAGUAUCUACCAUGUUAUAAUUAGAGGUACAGUAUCUACCAUGUUGUAAUUAGAUGUACAGUAUCUACCAUGUUAUAAUUAGAUGUACAGUAUCUACCAUGUUCUAUAUAGAGAUACAGUAUGUACCAUGUUAUAAUUAGAUGUACAGUAUCUACCAUGUUAUAAUUAGAUGUACAGUAUCUACCAUGAUUUAAUUAGAGGUACAGUAUCUACCAUGAUCUAAUUAGAGGUACAGUAUCUACCAUGUUAUAAUUAGAUGUACAGUAUCUACCAUGUUAUAAUUAGAUGUACAGUAUCUACCAUGUUAUAAUUAGAUGUACAGUAUCUACCAUGUUAUAAUUAGAGGUACAGUAUCUACCAUGUUAUAAUUAGAUGUACAGUAUCUACCAUGUUAUAAUUAGAGGUACAGUAUCUACCAUGUUAUAAUUAGAUGUACAGUAUCUACCAUGUUCUAUAUAGAUGUACAGUAUCUACCAUGUUAUAAUUAGAUGUACAGUAUCUACCAUGUUCUAUAUAGAUGUACAGUAUCUACCAUGUUCUAUAUAGAUGUACAGUAUCUACCAUGUUAUAAUUAGAUGUACAGUAUCUACCAUGUUCUAUAUAGAUGUACAGUAUCUACCAUGUUAUAAUAUAGAUGUACAGUAUCUACCAUGUUCUAUAUAGAUGUACAGUAUCUACCAUGUUCUAUAUAGAUGUACAGUAUCUACCAUGUUAUAAUUAGAUGUAUAGUAUCUACCAUGUUAUAAUUAGAGGUACAGUAUCUACCAUGUUAUAAUUAGAUGUACAGUAUCUACCAUGUUCUAUAUAGAUGUACAGUAUCUACCAUGUUAUAAUUAGAUGUACAGUAUCUACCGUGUUAUAAUUAGAGGUACAGUAUCUACCAUGUUAUAAUUAUGCACCAAUUUGUAAGUCGCUCUGGAUAAGAGCGUCUGCUAAAUGACUUAAAUGUAAAUGUUCUAUAUAGAUGUACAGUAUCUACCAUGUUAUAAUUAGAUGUACAGUAUCUACCAUGUUAUAAUUAGAUGUACAGUAUCUACCAUGUUCUAUAUAGAGGUACAGUAUCUACCAUGUUAUAAUUAGAUGUACAGUAUCUACCAUGUUAUAAUUAGAGGUACAGUAUCUACCAUGUUAUAAUUAGAUGUACAGUAUCUACCAUGUUCUAUAUAGAUGUACAGUAUCUACCAUGUUAUAAUUAGAUGUACAGUAUCUACCAUGUUCUAUAUAGAUGUACAGUAUCUACCAUGUUAUAAUUAGAGGUACAGUAUCUACCAUGUUAUAAUUAGACGUACAGUAUCUACCAUGAUUUAAUUAGAGGUACAGUAUCUACCAUGUUAUAAUUAGAUGUACAGUAUCUACCAUGUUCUAUAUAGAGGUACAGUAUCUACCAUGUUAUAAUUAGAUGUACAGUAUCUACCAUGUUAUAAUUAGAGGUACAGUAUCUACCAUGUUAUAAUUAGAUGUACAGUAUCUACCAUGUUCUAUAUAGAUGUACAGUAUCUACCAUGUUAUAAUUAGAUGUACAGUAUCUACCAUGUUAUAAUUAGAGGUACAGUAUCUACCAUGUUAUAAUUAGAGGUACAGUAUCUACCAUGUUAUAAUUAGAUGUACAGUAUCUACCAUGUUCUAUAUAGAUGUACAGUAUCUACCAUGUUAUAAUUAGAUGUACAGUAUCUACCAUGUUAUAAUUAGAGGUACAGUAUCUACCAUGUUGUAAUUAGAUGUACAGUAUCUACCAUGUUCUAUAUAGAGAUACAGUAUCUACCAUGUUAUAAUUAGAUGUACAGUAUCUACCAUGUUAUAAUUAGAUGUACAGUAUCUACCAUGUUAUAAUUAGAUGUACAGUAUCUACCAUGUUAUAAUUAGAGGUACAGUAUCUACCAUGUUGUAAUUAGAUGUACAGUAUCUACCAUGUUCUAUAUAGAGAUACAGUAUCUACCAUGUUAUAAUUAGAUGUACAGUAUCUACCAUGUUAUAAUUAGAUGUACAGUAUCUACCAUGUUAUAAUUAGAUGUACAGUAUCUACCAUGUUAUAAUUAGAGGUACAGUAUCUACCAUGUUAUAAUUAGAUGUACAGUAUCUACCAUGUUAUAAUUAGAGGUACAGUAUCUACCAUGUUAUAAUUAGAUGUACAGUAUCUACCAUGUUAUAAUUAGAUGUACAGUAUCUACCAUGUUAUAAUUAGAUGUACAGUAUCUACCAUGAUUUAAUUAGAGGUACAGUAUCUACCAUGAUCUAAUUAGAGGUACAGUAUCUACCAUGUUAUAAUUAGAUGUACAGUAUCUACCAUGUUAUAAUUAGAUGUACAGUAUCUACCAUGUUAUAAUUAGAUGUACAGUAUCUACCAUGAUUUAAUUAGAGGUACAGUAUCUACCAUGAUCUAAUUAGAGGUAUUUGAUUUGAUAUCUUAUUAGAGGUACAGUAUCUACCAUGAUCUGUUAUUGUGAAGUGGAAACGUUUAGCAGCAACAACGGCUCAGCCGUGGAGGGAAUGGGACCGGCGAGCUCACAGAACAUGACCGCUGACCGCUGAGUGAUGACCGCUGACCGCUGAGUGAUGACCGCUGACCGCUGAAGAGUGUAAAUAUAAUCUGUCCUCGGCUGCAACACUCACUACCAACUUCCAAACUGUCAGCACAAGACCUGUUCGUCGGGAGCUUAAUGAAAUGGUUUUCCAUGGCUGAGCAGCCGCAUACAAGCCUAAGAUCACCAUGUGCAAUGUGAAGUGUCGGCUGUAGCGGUGUAAAGCUUGCCCCCAUUGGACUCUGGAGCCGUGGAAACGUGUUCUCUGGAAUGUUGAAUCAUGCUUCAUCUGGCAGUCCGGCGGGCUCAUCUAGGUUUGGCGGAUGCUAGGAGAAUACUACCUGCCCCAACAUAUAGUGCCAAUGGUAAAGUUUGGUGGAGGAGGAACAAUGGUCUGGGGCUGUUUUUCAUGGUUCGGGCCCCUAGUUCCAGUGAAGGGUAUUUUUAAUGCUACAGUGUACAAUGCUAUUCUGGACGAUAACAAUGCCCCCAUGCCGAAAGCAAGGUCCAUACAGAAAGGGUUUGUCAAGAUCGGUUUGGAAGAACUUCACUGGCCUGCAUAGAGCCCUGACCUCAUCCCCACCAAACACCUUUGGGAUGAAUUGGAAUGCCGACUGUGAGCCAGGCCUAAUCGCCCAAUGUCAGAGCCCAACCUUACAACGCCUCUCCCCUAUUUGACCUAGAUAGUUUGUGUGUAUGCAUUGAUACUGUAUGUAGGCUACGUGUGCCUUUUUAAAGAAUGUAUGUGGUUCGGGCUUUGAGCUGUUCUUGUCUAUUGAAGUUCUGUAUUAUGUUUCAUGUUUUGUGUGGACCCCAGGAAGAGUAGUAAUGUACAUAUUACUUCAAUUAGCCCGACUAACCGGUGCCCCCGCACAUUGGCUACCCGGACUAUCUGCAUUGUGUCACACCAACCCCUCUUUUACGCUGCUGCUGCUCUCUGUUUACCAUAUAUGGAUAGUCACUUUAACCAUGUACAUAUUUGUAUUUAUUUUAACCUUUAUUUAACCAGGCAAGUCAGUUAAGAACAAAUUCUUAUUUUCAAUGACGGCCUGGGAACGGUGGGUUAACUGCAUGUUCAGGGGCUGAAUGACAGAUUUGUACCUUGUCAGCUCGGGGAUUCGAACUUGCAACGUUUCGGUCACUAGUCCAAUGCUCUAACCACUAGGCUACCCGUGCCUCAAUUAGCCCAACUAACCGGUGUAUAUAGCCUCGCUACUGUUAUUUUCACUGUCUUUUUACGGUUGUUUUUAUUUCUUUACUUAUCUAGUGUUCACCUAAUACCUUUUUUAUUCUUAAAAAAAUGCACUGUUGGUUAGAGCCUGUAAAUAAGAAUUUCACUAAGGUCUACACCGGUUUGAUUCGGCGCACGUUACACAAACUUUGAAUUGAUCCUCCAAGAGCUUCUUGCUGCCAAGGGGACGCCUGACAGCUUGAAAGACGUUUUAGACACUACAGUGAAAAUGGUUAACUUUGCUAAAGCAAGGCCCUUGAACUCGUCUAUUUUCUGCAUUAUGCAAUGAUAUGGGCAGCGACCAUGUAAGGCUUUUACAAAAUACAGAAGUUGGAGCUCUUCUCUGUCUGCAUUAACAAGGACAACACACAGGUCUUUCCAUCAUUGUAUGAUUUUUUGUGUGCAAAUGAACUCAAGCUUACGGACAAUGUCAAAUGUGAUAUAGUGAAGCACCUGAGUGAGAUGGGUGUGCAAUUAAGCAGGUACUUUCCCAAAGUGGACAACACAAACAACUGGAUUCGUUAUCCCCUUUCAUGCCCUGUCCACUUACCGAUAUCUGAACAAGAGAGCCUCAUUGAAAUUGCAACAAGGUUCUGUGAAAAUUGUAUUUAAUCAGAAGCCAUUGACAGAUUUCUGGAUAGGGCUGUGCUCAAGAGUUUCUUGCCUUGGCAAAUCUCAUUGUUAAGACAAUGAUGCCGUUUGCAACCACGUACCUAUGUGAGAGUGGAUUCUCGGCCCUCACUAGCAUGAAAACUAAAUACAGGCACGGACUGUGUGUGGAAAAUGAUUUAAGACAGACUCUCUUCAAUACAACCCAACAUUGCAGAAUUAUGUGCAUCCUUUCAAGCACACCCUUCUCAUUAACCUGUGGUGAGUUAUUCACCAUCUUUGAUUGUUGUUGAUUAUUAUUAUUUGUGCCCUGGUCCUAUAAGAGCUCUUUGUCACUUCCCACGAGCCGGGUUGUGACAGAAACUCACACUCAUUCUUAUGUUUAAUAAAUGUAUCGUAUAGUGUGUGUGGCAGGCUUACAAUGAUGGCAAAAAAACAACAUUUGAGAGUGCGACCCUGGUUACCCUACUGUGUUAUUGACUUGUUUAUUGUUUACUCCAUGUGUAACUCUGUGUUGUCUGUUCACACUGCUAUGCUUUAUCUUGGCCAGGUUGCAGUUGUAAAUGAGAACUUGUUCUCAACUAGCCUACCUGGUUAAAUAAAAAAUAAAUAAAAAAAUUGCACAUAA